GAAUUCGCCCUUAGAGUUUGAUUCUGGCUCAGGACGAACGCUGGCGGCGCGCCUAACACAUGCAAGUCGAACGAGCGAGAGGAGGUUUACUUUCUCAAGCGAGUGGCGAACGGGUGAGUAACGCGUGAGGAACCUGCCUCAAAGAGGGGGACAACAGUUGGAAACGACUGCUAAUACCGCAUAAGCCCACGACCCGGCAUCGGGUAGAGGGAAAAGGAGCAAUCCGCUUUGAGAUGGCCUCGCGUCCGAUUAGCUAGUUGGUGAGGUAAUGGCCCACCAAGGCGACGAUCGGUAGCCGGACUGAGAGGUUGAACGGCCACAUUGGGACUGAGACACGGCCCAGACUCCUACGGGAGGCAGCAGUGGGGAAUAUUGCACAAUGGGGGAAACCCUGAUGCAGCGACGCCGCGUGGAGGAAGAAGGUUUUCGGAUUGUAAACUCCCGUUGUUGAGGAAGAUAAUGACGGUACUCAACAAGGAAGUGACGGCUAACUACGUGCCAGCAGCCGCGGUAAAACGUAGGUCACAAGCGUUGUCCGGAAUUACUGGGUGUAAAGGGAGCGCAGGCGGGAAGACAAGUUGGAAGUGAAAUCCAUGGGCUCAACCCAUGAACUGCUUUCAAAACUGUUUUUCUUGAGUAGUGCAGAGGUAGGCGGAAUUCCCGGUGUAGCGGUGGAAUGCGUAGAUAUCGGGAGGAACACCAGUGGCGAAGGCGGCCUACUGGGCACCAACUGACGCUGAGGCUCGAAAGUGUGGGUAGCAAACAGGAUUAGAUACCCUGGUAGUCCACACUGUAAACGAUGAUU
rnacentral:rRNA from 1 species